rnacentral:rRNA from 1 species
UACGUAGGGUGCGAGCGUUAAUCGGAAUUACUGGGCGUAAAGUGUGCGCAGGCGGCCGCGCAAGUCGAGUGUGAAAGCCCCGGGCUUAACUUGGGAAUUGCGCUCGAAACUACGUGGCUGGAGUGUGGCAGAGGAAGGUGGAAUUCCACGUGUAGCGGUGAAAUGCGUAGAGAUGUGGAGGAACACCAAUGGCGAAGGCAGCCUUCUGGGCCAAUACUGACGCUCGAUGCACGAAAGCGUGGGGAGCAAACAGGA